UUAGUGGCGGACGGGUGAGUAACGCGUGGAUAACCUGCCGUAUACAGGGGGAUAACACUUAGAAAUAGGUGCUAAUACCGCAUAAGCGCACGGUUCCGCAUGGAACAGUGUGAAAAACUCCGGUGGUAUACGAUGGAUCCGCGCCUGAUUAGCCAGUUGGCGGGGUAACGGCCCACCAAAGCGACGAUCAGUAGCCGGCCUGAGAGGGUGAACGGCCACAUUGGGACUGAGACACGGCCCAAACUCCUACGGGAGGCAGCAG
rnacentral:rRNA from 1 species